CUCCUAUUUAUUUGUAUUGUAGUCCUGUAAUAUUAUGUUGUCAUUUCAAUGUUAUAUUUAACUUUGCCAUUAAAGUGCGAGGUUUGGCAUGCCUUAAACCAGUUUAACCACCACUUUUAUUCCCUUUAAAAGUGUCCUGUACCAAGUCCGGAAGAUGGUCAUUGUUAUAUAUUGUUCGUUUCUCUUUGUGUUGCAUUUUAAC
rnacentral:lncRNA from 1 species